AUCGUCACUGAUUAGCCUGCGGGCCACGGCAGCCUGUUGUCGGUCAGCUGGAUAUGAGAAUGUUCACCACCGUGCAAACGGACCUAACCAACGGACCAUCCUGUGCGUUACAACUCUUCACCGCAACACCGCUCCUCUAGAGACGGACUAAUGUGACUGCAAGUUGAAUCCCCCGCCCUGUGAAUUUGGGAACAUUUCACAGAUCACACUGAAGAUGAAGUGCAACGUGUACCACAGCGGAACAUCUCCGUUUGCCGACAGAUGAGGGACGAGUCUUUCUUCUUGACAUGAUCGUCAAUGUAGGACACCCCGAGGGGCUGCACAGGCGUCGCUCCGAUCCCCAGCAGGACCUGAGCUCCGAUUAGCAGCAGGUACAUCAUGUUGGUGUUGGUCUUGUUGGCGCAAGCCGUGUCCUCUGCCAACUGGACCUCCCUGCUGCUGGCAUUGGAGCACACGUCCCGCCCCACAAGCAGAAUCGCAGCAGGUUGUUCUCGCAGCUGUUGUGACAACUACGCCGUCCCCUUCACGAAUCGUCACAGCAUGGCGAGCCCGACCGGUGGAAACGCUGAGCGCCGAGUGUCCUUGGGCCAAGAGAGGGUUGACGGAGAACUUCGGAACGAGCCGCGACGUCUCUUCCCCCGCGGCGGCUCUUUCUCGCGCCGGAUAAAGGCCGCAUUAACGCGCGGCCGGCUGCCUCGGCCUCGCCCGGGAUCCGACGGGGGUGGCGACGUCUCAUCCUGUUCUUGGAAACUUGUGCCAGGGCUGACUGCAACCUGUUGACACGACAGCUCUGGUGCAAGGCUGCGAGGAAGUAAUCAUCCUGUCCAAUCAGAUACCAUUCAGCGAAGGUUAGCCUCAGCACGAGACGUGAGCGAGAGCUGAACGACGCGCUGGGAACACGUGCUUCACGUGUUCAUGUUUUACAUGCUCGUGCACUUCCACUCUAACGUCGACCAGACAGCCUUCCAAGAGGUUUUGAACUCAACAUAAAUUACAUCAUGUAGGGGGAAGGAGCAGACUGCCUACUAGGGAGAAACCGCAGCUACAUCUCGUCAACCUCGCCGCUCGAAAUGCAGGGGGAAGUGUUUCACAAGUUGCGUGGCAACAAAAUAAACCUCACCCAGUCGUGGGACAUCCCAUUGCCUCACAGAGAAGAACGAGUCCUGUCAAAGGACAUUUUUUCCUGCCUCUUGGCUCAGACGAGUCUGCUGGGAGCUUUGAGACGAAAGAGGCUCGAAAUGUUAGUCGAGGAGGGAACAACAAACGCUAACUUCCUCGCGUAAUUCUCUUGAGGUAUCCAAUGUCACUUAAUUCUUCCAAAAACGAUCAUUUAUUACUUGCAAAUACAUCUUUCUUCAUCUAUCUGUGCCAGCGACGUAUCGUGACAGACAGAAUAAUUGAACGCGCUCCCGUCGGAGGGCAGAAGUUACAAUAAUUCAUACAAAACGAUGAGUCACGGCUUCCUGCGAGAAAAUGUACUUCCCCAGAUUUCACGGUGUUCAUUUUCAAAGUAAAUGGAGAGCUAAUGAUUUCAAUUUUCAUACUUGGGGGGUGGUCUGUAACCCAACCCCAGCGAUGGACAGGGGGGAUUACUAUAAAUAUAGUCCAGAUUUCCAUAUCCUUUCAACUGCCUGUCACUUCGGUUUUGUAAAAAUUAACCUGUUCAAAGGGCAUUCUGAAUUAUGUAUCAACUCUCGACGGCCGCAGUAGUGUUAAUGAUAAAUAUACCUGGGUGACAAAGCGGUAAUUAAUUCCGCUGAAUUAUUAAUUACCACUUGACUUAAUUUGGCAAUGACUCCCUAAAACGACAGACAUGAAUACGUUUUGAGUUUUUGGAUAUGGCUACGGUUCAAAUGCUGCUCAGGCGUUAGCGGUAUCAACCAUCACGAAGGCUAUACAGGCUAUACUCUUUAAAGGGAUUGCUUUGGUGAUCAAAAGCUAAGUGUUCCGGCUUAUUUGAGCCGUCUGGGUAAAAAAGCGACUUCGGUACCGCUAAUUGCAACAUAUGACGACAUUUUGCCACCUGGCGCGUUGAUUACAGCUCCGGGCUAAUUAUCAGCUCUCGCAAAAAAAAAGAAAAAAGAUCGCAAUGAUAGCGAGGUUUGUCGGUGCGCUGACAGCAAGCGCUUUUAGAUCCUAUCAUCCAAUUAGGGACUCUUAUAGAUGGCACUUGAUCAUCCAGAAAAUCUCAGCGUGCUGGCGGCAAACGUCAUAAGCCGGCGAGGGUCAGGUGCCGGCUGGUCCGGGUAAUUGUUCCUAUGACAUUUACGGCUGUGUUUGAACAGGUGUCCAAACCACUUGAAAAGCCUUCUGAAGGUUUACUGCGUUAUUGACUUGGCUUGUCGACGUUUAGAUUCAGUAUACUGAGAAUUUGGAGUACCCAAAGAGUACUGCUGUCCCUUGAAGUACACAGUACACGCUAUGAUGAAUUAGCGGACUGUUCAAUUUCCAGGAACAAUUACGUGCAAAAGUCAAGCAUUGCCUGUGAGAGAACCAUCGCAACAGAAAGCAAACUUCCUUAGCAGGGUCUUCAGUAACCCCAUUUGACUCUUAUUUAUAGUUUUGCACCAGUUACACAAAUGUAACAAAUUGGCCUCAUCUGGAACCAAUUCCAUUGACAGGCGUAUUACGCAAAUUGUUAAGGGGUACCAAAAUUAGAUCACCAAUACUGUCGUACCAUAGGGUUAGUCAAGGUACUCAUUUAACUGUCUUUUAGGAACUUCAUUUCCAAGUAAUUUCCUUCUGGAAAGUCUGUCUUGGGAUUGCAGUUUGGCUUUUCCAGAACAAACACACUGAUAUCAGUAUAGGUGCGUCCCAAACAGUAUAUUAUUUUAAAGUUUCCUCAAAAUGACCUUUUUUUUUGUGCGGCCAUACCUAUAUCCAACCAACCGGUCCACAAAAGACCCUCGCUUGUUACAUUUGUACCCACUCUGCCCUUUUCUCCAGUAACAAGUCAUUGUAUGUACUCAUAAAGUUUUUCAAGGUACCACAGCUUUCUCCUGCACGUGUUCUAACUGGAGACCGGACGCUCCACCGUAAGCACAAACAUUAACAUUCAAAUGUUUAUUUAUUUCAAGCGAGUUGAGGAAACAGCCCCCACCGAAAAAUCAACAUUGCUAACGCCGGCGCGACAAGUUCACCGCCCGAGGUCGUAAAGUGAGUCCUACGAGAGAGAAUCGAUGUUCAAGGUUGCCUCGACUUUUGUGCGUUUUAAUCAAAUUGGUAGAUGAGGAGCGAGGAGGAACACUGCACGGCGCAAGAGUUUAACCUUGAAAGGCAUUUCUGCAAGCAUCAAUAAAGCACUGGCAUCCUAAAAGACGAUUAAUCUCAAGAUGUAAACGCUUUAAGGUCAUUGAUUAGUUUGGCUCUUUCAUUAAAGGAGCUAGCCAACAUUUUUUUUCCACCCUCUUGGUAAUGAUUUCCAGAGAAAAGAUGCCGCGCUCAGGAACAUGAUUCCACCUUUGGAUGGACACAAGCUUGUCACUCAAAAGUAUAGUCUAGGCACAAUUUGAUUUUUUACAGCUUUUUGGCCUUGAAAACAGGAGCCCAAUAAUUAGCCUUACUCAUAUUAGUGUAUAAGCUAGCUUCAAAACCGUAUAAGUGCAACUUUCCCAUGCUUCCUGUUGGAUCCAGUGUGCGUUCCAAGUGCUAUCUGAUAGCAUAUAAACCCAAAUUCACCAUCGAUUCAGCUAUUCCUCAAAAUCAUCGGUGUCAAACUCAAGGCCCAAGGUCCGGAUGCGGCUCGCCACAUCAUUUUACGCGCCCCCGCGGAAGCAAAUCCUGAUCGUCAACUUCCGUGAUUUUUUUUUUGCUAAAAGCUGCACCCAAAUUCCAGAUUGUCAAAAUAAUAAACAAUAAUGUCAUAUACUGCAUUUAAGUGUUACUAAACCCCUUUUCUACUGUUAAUUAGUCUUUAAUACUUUGGACAAACUAUUGUCCUUGUGUUUUGAUUUCAAAACUACUUAGCCCUAAAUGUGUUGGGUACUGCU